CCUACGGGAGGCAGCAGUGAGGAAUAUUGGUCAAUGGGCGCGAGCCUGAACCAGCCAAGUCGCGUGAGGGAGGACGGCCCUACGGGUUGUAAACCUCUUUUGCCGGGGAGCAACGGGCGCCACGUGUGGCGUCACUGAGAGUACCCGGAGAAAAAGCAUCGGCUAACUCCGUGCCAGCAGCCGCGGUAAUAAGGAGGAGGCGAGCGUUAUCCGGAUGUAUGGGGUUUAAAGGGUUCGUAGGCGGAUGGUUAAGUCAGAGGGAAAAUUGAGGGGCUCAACCCCUUACCGCCAUUGAAACUGGCGUUCUUGAGUGGAAGAGAAGUAUGCGGAAUGCGUGGUGUAGCGGUGAAAUGCAUAGAUAUCACGCAGAACCCCGAUUGCGAAGGCAGCAUGCCGGCUUCCGACUGACGCUGAAGCACGAAAGCGUGGGGAUCGAACAGGAUUAGAUACCCUUGUAGUC
rnacentral:rRNA from 1 species